rnacentral:tRNA from 1 species
GAGGCCUUAGCUUAAUUAAAGUGUCUGAGUUGCAAUCAGUUGAUGUAUUAUUUAGUUUUACAGGUCUU